CAAACGCAAACCACCACCAAGAACAAAAGCGAUCGGGGAAACUAAAGAAAACGGAGAAAAACAAAAUACAAACCGGAAUGAAAACAAAACGCUGGGAAACCCUGAAAAUGAAAGAUGGUGUGACCUGAACUACCUUCAUAUAUAAUCAGACUGAUGUGAGAAACUACAGCGGUAACUACAGCGGUACUACAGAGGUAACUACAGAGGUAACUACAGUGUAACUACAGCAGUACUACAGCGGUAACUACAGCGGUAACUACAGCGGUAACUACAGCAGUAACUACAGCGGUACUACAGCGGUAACUACAGCGGUACUACAGCGUAACUACAGCGGUGACUACAGCGAUUUUGGAGAACGUUUGACUUGGGAGUGGGAAUUUGUGUUCAUUCAGUCAAACAGCCUUUGUGAGUCUGAGAUCACAGCACUUGUUGGAUGAGGAAAUGUCCUUCCCCAAAUUAUUGGAACAAAGUUUGAUGUUUUUGAAUGAAUUUUAUAGGUGUAACUGAAACACCUAAACUCAGUAAUUAGGAGAGGUGUCCAUAUACUUUUUGCCGUAUAACGUAAACAUUCCCACAUGGUCGCCUGUAAUCGGUCACUCAUGCUCUUCAGGACUCCCGGUCCCAGUGGGCUGUUGAAUAUGGAACGAUAGAUUUAGAGGCGUUACCUCGUCUCUCUCGAUGGCAGCAGCGUCGUCCUCUAUUAGCUGAUGGAGAACUUGUGUACAUUCCUCAUGAUGGGCGCGGCCCUCUAAUCUUUGCUUUUCCACCAGUCGCCCGGUGGCCUGAGAUAACCGGAGCGUGGACAGUUGGCUCUCUCGGUCCAGCUGCUCCUGAAUCCUCCGCUCCCGUUCCAAACGUUCCUGCCGCUGGCGUUCCUCCUCCUGCCGCUGGUGUUCCUCCUGCCGCCGCCGUUCCUCCUGCUGCCGCCGUCGCUGCUCCUCCUGCUGUUGCUGCAGUUUUUGUCUUUGAUUGUCCUCCUCAACUUUUCCUGUUUAAAGACGAUAUUAGACAUGGAAUAAAGAA